UGGUUCUGGCAUCGAUGAAGAACGCAGCCAAAUGCGAUAAGUAAUGUGAAUUGCAGAAUUCCGUGAAUCAUCGAAUCUUUGAACGCACAUUGCGCCUCUUGGUAAUCCAGGAGGCAUGCCUGUCUGAGCGUCAGUACACCAUUUAAACAAUCACUUUGUGAUAGUUUAGUCAUGGGGAUUUGAUAUUACUUCGUAAUAUCUUCUCUGUAAUGUAUUGACUGUCUGUAUAUUUUGGUCUUUAGUUGUGACAAUUUGUAUUCAACUUGAAAGAACGAUUUGUACUUGUCGCUGUUUCUAUAGAGUUUUUAACUCUUCUAACAUUGACCUCAGAUCAGGUAGGGAUACCCGCUGA
rnacentral:misc_RNA from 1 species